ensembl:lncRNA
GUAAAAUAAGCUCAGAUUUUCAGUAAAGUACCAGUAACAAAAAGUGCUAAAGGGCAAAGUUCAAGGCGCAUUUACCCCUGGAAUACACCCCAGCUGAGAGAAGGCAAAGUUAUUCUGAAUUUUACUGAAAGAAGCAUAACUGCUGUUAACAUCUGUUUGUAUAGAUGUGCACAGACUGUAUCCAACUACUGGAAAAAAGCAGAUUAGGAAGUACAAUUCUAGUUAACAAACACACUGUGGCCUUCCUUCCUCACGCGGCAGCUGAGAUGAGUCAAGCUUGUCCCUGACCUCAACCCAAGUCCCACAGACUCUUGUUAACAACACUUCCUUGUUGACUAACCUUUGGGCAAUACACUCAACAACUGCGAAUAUUCAUUUUGAAAUAUCUUUUAUCAUCGUCUCAUAGAAGCGUCCCUGAACUCUCGGUUCAUCUGUUAGUUUUAAACGACUGCUCCUUGGUCUGUGACUAAACACAGCUGAUGAAAAGCACCCAUACUGAUGCCAGAGAAGCGUUACACAGAUGGUGACGGACAUGUGGAUAAUGUGGAGAUAAAACAAUGAAUGAAUCAGCUUUUUACUUCCCAGAAGUAUCAUUUCUGCUUGUUGUUUCCUUGCUUUUUUAUCAGUCAUGAUGUGAUAACCAAAAUGCAGGACCAUUGUGAUGCAUUUUAGUUCCCCAAAAGAAAGGUCAGAUCAAAUCAAUCCCAUUAUAACAUGAACUCAAUUUUAAGUGUGUUACCAUACAUUACACAAGGAGGGAUCCAGCUGGUAUUUGCUGUAGUACAGAGGUGUUUUUUUUUUUCUUAAAAUUUUUUUAAUAGGUUGGAAGAUGAAGGAUUGAGAACCAGCUGGUUAUUGGUAUUGUUGGGAGUGCCACCCCAGGCCCUCCUGACCCAGAGUAGCUAGGUGCAGGUAUAUAGGCGCAAGGAAUACACGAGAAGAGGUGAAACAGAAUAAUAAUAAUAGAUUGGAUUUAUACAGCACUUUUCAAGGCACCCAAAGCGCUUUACAAUACCACUAUUCAUUCACUCUCACAUUCAUACACUGGUGGAGGCAGCUACGGUUGUAGCCACAGCUGCCCUGGGGCAGACUGACAGAAGCGAGGCUGCCAUAUCGCGCCAUCAGCCCCUCUGGCCAACACCAGUAGGCAAGUAGGGUAAAGUGUCUUGCCCAAGGACACAACAACCAGGACAGAGAGCCCAGGGAUCGAACCAGCGACCUUCCGGCGCUCUGGAUUACACACACCAGUAGUCUGCUGGCUCCACAGCUCCAGUCAGAACACACUGAGGGAGGACAAUUGAGUGCGUGUAUAUAGACGCAUAUAAAGUGACAGUUCAUAUGAGC